rnacentral:rRNA from 1 species
GGGGAAUAUUGCACAAUGGGCGCAAGCCUGAUGCAGCAACGCCGCGUGAGGGAUGACGGCCUUCGGGUUGUAAACCUCUUUUGUCAGGGAAGAAGCCGUGAGGUGACGGUACCUGGAGAAAAAGCACCGGCUAACUACGUGCCAGCAGCCGCGGUAAUACGUAGGGUGCAAGCGUUGUCCGGAAUUAUUGGGCGUAAAGAGCUCGUAGGCGGCUUGUCGCGUCUGCUGUGAAAACCCGAGGCUCAACCUCGGGCCUGCAGUGGGUACGGGCAGGCUAGAGUGCGGUAGGGGAGAUUGGAAUUCCUGGUGUAGCGGUGGAAUGCGCAGAUAUCAGGAGGAACACCGAUGGCGAAGGCAGAUCUCUGGGCCGUAACUGACGCUGAGGAGCGAAAGCAUGGGGAGCGAAC